rnacentral:rRNA from 1 species
ACAAGGUUUCCGUAGGUGAACCUGCGGAAGGAUCAUUACCGAAUUGUCAACAAGGGUUGUUGCUGGCCCCUGUAUGGGGGCAUGUGCACGCUCUGUUUACACAUCCACUCACACCUGUGCACCCUCUGUAGUUCUAUGGCCUGGGGGGCCCUGUCCUCCUGCUGUGGUUCUACGUCUUUACACACACACAUUGAAAUAAAGUCUAAUGGAAUGUAUGUCGCGUUUAACGCAAUGAAAUACAACUUUCAGCAACGGAUCUCUUGGCUCUCGCAUCGAUGAAGAACGCAGCGAAAUGCGAUAAGUAAUGUGAAUUGCAGAAUUCAGUGAAUCAUCGAAUCUUUGAACGCACCUUGCGCCCUUUGGCUAUUCCGAAGGGCAUGCCUGUUUGAGUAUCAUGAACACCUCAACUCUCAUGGCUUGCCGUGAUGAGCUUGGACUUUGGGGGUCUUGCUGGCCUGUGGUCGGCUCCUCUCAAAUGAAUUAGCUUGCCGGUGUUUGGUGGGAUCACAGGUGUGAUAACUAUCUACACUUGUGGUUUUCCACCAGGUAACCCUCAGCAAUGGAGGUUCACUGGAGCUUAUAAACGUCUCUCCCCAGUGAGGACAGAUUUUGACCGUUUGAUCUCAAAUCAGGUAGGACUACCCGCUGAACUUAAGCAUAUCAAUAAGCGGAGGAAAAGAAACUAACAAGGAUUCCCCUAGUAACUGCGAGUGAAGCGGGAAGAGCUCAAAUUUAAAAUCUGGCGUGCCU